rnacentral:rRNA from 1 species
AAGCUCGUAGUUGAAUUUCGGGAUCGACGGGUCGGUCGCGCCUCUGGUGUGUACUGGCCCCGUCGGUUUCUCCCUUCUGACGAACCACGAUGUCAUUAAUUUGGUGUCGUGGGGAAUCAGGACUGUUACUUUGAAAAAAUUAGAGUGUUUAAAGCAAGCAUUCACUUGAAUACAUUAGCAUGGAAUAAUGAAAUAGGACGUUUGAUCUUAUUUUGUUGGUUUCUAAGAUCGACGUAAUGAUUAAUAGGGAUAGUUGGG